UACGUAGGUGGCAAGCGUUGUCCGGAUUUACUGGGCGUAAAGAGCGCGCAGGCGGUCGAUUUAGUCGCGUGUGAAAGCCCCCGGCUCAACUGGGGAGGGUCACGCGAUACUGAUCGACUCGAAGGCAGGAGAGGGUAGUGGAAUUCCCGGUGUAGUGGUGAAAUGCGUAGAGAUCGGGAGGAACAACAGUGGCGAAGGCGGCUUCCUGGCCUGUUCUUGACGCUGAGGCGCGAAAGCUAGGGGAGCAAACGGG
rnacentral:rRNA from 1 species